GGGCUUGACAUCCCACGAACCUGCCUGAAAGGGCGGGGUGCCCGCAAGGGAGCGUGGAGACAGGUGGUGCAUGGCUGUCGUCAGCUCGUGUCGUGAGAUGUUGGGUUAAGUCCCGCAACGAGCGCAACCCUCACCCCUAGUUGCCACCGGGUAAUGCCGAGCACUCGAGGGGAACUGCCAGCGUCAAGCUGGAGGAAGGCGGGGAUGACGUCAAGUCAUCAUGCCCCUUACGCCCUGGGCUACACACGUGCUACAAUGGCCGGUACAAAGGGACGCGAGACCGCAAGGUGGAGCUAAUCCCAAAAAACCAGUCUAAGUUCAGAUUGCAGUCUGCAACUCGACUGCAUGAAGUAGGAAUCGCUAGUAAUCGCGCAUCAGCACGGCGCGGUGAAUACGUUCCCGGGCCUUGUACACACCGCCCGUCACACCACGAAAGCUGUCUGUACUCGAAGUCGCUGAG
rnacentral:rRNA from 1 species